rnacentral:lncRNA from 1 species
AUGUUGGCCUGGUGGAAAAGAUUUCUCACUCCUUUAGCAGUUCAGGAAAUGAAGGCAAAUGCUGUAUCGAAUGUGAAAGCAAAAAGUAGGAGUGAGCUAUCCAGAGGCAGAGGAACGGAGUCUUACCUGUUCGUGGUCCACCCACGUUUCCUGGCAUGCUUGGCAAUGCUUACAGUCAACGGUGGCUGGAAAGCCAAAGCCCCUUUGAGGAGGAAAUACUAUGAAGAUGAGAGACAGUAUCCAAGAAAGAUAGAAAAGUAG